rnacentral:rRNA from 1 species
UGGGGAAUAUUGGACAAUGGGGGCAACCCUGAUCCAGCCAUGCCGCGUGAGUGAUGAAGGCCUUCGGGUUGUAAAGCUCUUUUGGCGGGGACGAUGAUGACGGUACCCGCAGAAUAAGCCCCGGCUAACUUCGUGCCAGCAGCCGCGGUAAGACGAAGGGGGCUAGCGUUGUUCGGAAUUACUGGGCGUAAAGCGAGUGUAGGUGGUUUUCCAAGUUGGAUGUGAAAGCCUUGAGCUCAACUCAAGAAAUGCAUUCAGGACUGGGAGACUAGAGGACCGGAGAGGAUAGUGGAAUUCCCAGUGUAGUGGUGAAAUACGUAGAGAUUGGGAAGAACACCAGUGGCGAAGGCGGCUAUCUGGACGGUUUCUGACACUAAGACUCGAAAGCGUGGGGAGCAAACAGGAUUNGAUACCCUGGGUAGUCCACGCCGUAAACGAUGGGUGCUAGCGUUGGCGAGCUUGCCGUUCAGUGUCGCAGCUAACGCGUUAAGCACCCCGCCUGGGGAGUACGGCCGCAAGGUCG